GAGGGAGGCGGGAAAUGGCGGCGGCGGCGGCCGUGGGGCGGGCGGUGUGCGGGGCGCUCCUUCUGCACUGCGGUUACACGGAGCUGCCCGCGAAGCUCACGUGAGAGAGAGCGGCCGUGUGAAUUCACGGCUUCUCUCGCUGCCCGCACGGCCCAGCGCCCACAGUGCCCGGGCGGCCGCUCCUGAAAGGCACAGGAACCCCAGCAGCCACCAACAGCAGAGCUCCGCUCCUGUGAGGAAUGUGGAACGCCGUGUGCCCGGCCCCACUAAUGCCAGCCCACACGCCUCCCCAGAACAAAGCUGUUCUGUGUUUCUCCAGCCAAGGACGACCUCUUUCAAUGACACAGGGCGUCAGGAAAUGUGACAAUACAGAAAACAACAUGGUAGCUGCAGAAGAAUACCCAUCACACACAGCAUUUGGAUGCCACAUGGAAUUCAGAAGCAGUGCUUUCCAAAGCUCAUCCAGCACUCACGCAGUACAUCUCGGUGAGAGAAGGUUUGAGCAAUGCCAGUAAUAUCUGCUCGUCUUUUAACACAAAUAAUAUCAAAUAAAUUAAAACCAAAGUUGAAAAUGUAA